AGCGAACGCUGGCGGCAGGCUUAACACAUGCAAGUCGAACGGGCUUCUUCGGAAGUCAGUGGCAGACGGGUGAGUAACACGUGGGAACGUGCCCUUCGGUUCGGAAUAACUCAGGGAAACUUGAGCUAAUACCGGAUACGCCCUUUUGGGGAAAGGUUUACUGCCGAAGGAUCGGCCCGCGUCUGAUUAGCUUGUUGGUGGGGUAACGGCCUACCAAGGCGACGAUCAGUGGCUGGUCUGAGAGGAUGAUCAGCCACACUGGGACUGAGACACGGCCCAGACUCCUACGGGAGGCAGCAGUGGGGAAUAUUGGACAAUGGGCGCAAGCCUGAUCCAGCCAUGCCGCGUGAGUGAUGAAGGCCUUAGGGUUGUAAAGCUCUUUUGUCCGGGACGAUAAUGACGGUACCGGAAGAAUAAGCCCCGGCUAACUUCGUG
rnacentral:rRNA from 1 species